AUUGAACGCUGGCGGCAUGCCUUACACAUGCAAGUCGAACGGCAGCGACGGGGGCAACCCUGGUGGCGAGUGCGGACGGGUGAGUAACACAUCGGAACGUGCCCUGGAGUGGGGGAUAACGCAGCGAAAGCUACGCCAUACCGCAUAUUCUGUGAGCAGGAAAGCAGGGGGAUCGCAAGACCUUGCGCUGAUUGAGCGGCCGAUAUCAGAUUAGCUAGUUGGUGAGGUAAAGGCUCACCAAGGCGACGAUCUGUAGCGGGUCUGAGAGGAUGAUCCGCCACACUGGAACUGAGACACGGUCCAGACUCCUACGGGAGGCAGCAGUGGGGAAUUUUGGACAAUGGGCGCAAACCUGAUCCAGCCAUGCCGCGUGAGUGAAGAAGGCCUUCGGGUUGUAAAGCUCUUUCGGCCGGGAAGAAAUCGCACGGGUUAAUACCCUGUGUGGAUGACGGUACCGGAAUAAGAAGCACCGGCUAACUACGUG
rnacentral:rRNA from 1 species